GGGGGUAUAGCACAGUUGGUAGCGCGCUACGUUCGGGACGUAGAGGUCGGGCGUUCGAGUCGCCUUACCCCGA
rnacentral:tRNA from 1 species